UACGGAGGGUGCAAACGUUGCUCGGAAUCAUUGGGCGUAAAGCGCACGUAGGCGGCCUGAUAAGUCGGGUGUGAAAGCCCUGGGCUCAACCCAGGAAGUGCACUCGAAACUGUCAGGCUUGAAUAUGGAAGAGGGUCGCGGAAUUCCCGGUGUAGAGGUGAAAUUCGUAGAUAUCGGGAGGAACACCAGUGGCGAAGGCGGCGAUCUGGGUCGAUACUGACGCUGAGGUGCGAAAGCGUGGGGAGCAAACAGG
rnacentral:rRNA from 1 species